rnacentral:lncRNA from 1 species
UUUCGGCACAUGACUUCAAACUUUUUCCUUCGUCGGCCGGUGUUUGGGAUCAACAGCCAGAUGGUGUUCCAUAACUUUAGCAUCGAUCUCUGACAUGUCCGUCGGAGCCCAAGCGAAAACAUCCACAUUCUUUUGUAAAAAAUUGAUAAGCUGUGUUCGCACCUCUUUCCCCAAGUUGGAGUCGAUCUUCAUCACGUGUUCUUCAUUCCCAUCAUUCAAAGGAAUUGAGACAAGAUCUUCAAUUGGCUCACCCCGUUCUUCAGCA